rnacentral:tRNA from 1 species
GGGGUUAUAGCAUAACUUGGCAGUGCAGCAGACUCCAGAUCUGCCAAUCGGGGUUCAAAUCCCCGUAACCCCA